UAUUGGUUCGGGGCAGCAAU
rnacentral:siRNA from 1 species